CAUAAAUAUAUUUCAAAGACACAAACAUACAUGUUAAUCUUUCAGAUAUUGAAUAAAGAAAAUCUGGAAAAUACUUAAAAAGAAAAAAAUGAAAACCUGGAAAAUAUUCCAGGCCUAAAUGUUUAAGUAUUUAACAGAACAAAUGCCCUCUAAAGCUUGGAUCAAUAAGCCAGUGAAAUACAGGCCGAUAAGUCCGAUCAGGAGCCCAGCGCCAGCCGAGCAUCACAGGGGCUGAAAAAACGAAGAGGCCUUCAAAUUUAAGGAGGGAAAGGAGCCGAGAAAGAGAAAAAAGGCGGCAAAUUCUCCAACACUACCCUGUCAUCUUUCUCAAACUAAAUCAUCUGCUGCUUCAUCAUUUUCUUUCAUUAUCCUACAAAUUCAAAAAGAGAUCUGCUGUUUCGAUUAAAGAAAAAUGAAAACGCGGUUCGCUUUUUUUUCUUUCCAUUCAAACUGUUAUCCGGUGCAGCUUUCCUGCGCUUUUAUCUCAUUUCUCCCCCAGGUUUGCUACUGUUUAAUUUAGCUAUUUUGGGGAAAGAAGCAUUUAACAAUUAUGAUGAAUUUUUCGAUCUUGUCUAUAUUUUUUUCUGUAAAGAGCUUAAAGCGUUGAUUCGUUCAGUAUUUCUUUCCACGAUUCAAUAUUGAGACAUAUAAUUCUAUGCUAUUCGGUUUCUUGAGAUAGAACGCAUAACUGCUUGGAUUUUUGCCGAACUUGAGCAAGGUAAUUGGUAACGUUGAAACUCUAGAAUAUGAAUUGGCAUUUGAGAUCAUUACGCAAUUGGAGUGUAAUCGUUUUUUUUUCUGAGUUCUAUCCGACAUUCAGUUAUUUUGGCCAAACUUGUUAUAUGCUAUUUUAGAAAUGUUGUAUGUGUUGAAUUUAAACCUCAAGCCUGAUAGAUGCUACUUUAUUAAAAA